GGCUGCCUGGCCCAAUGGUUAAGGCGCUUGCCUACGAUCUGGGUGAAGCAAGAGAUUCCAGGUUCGAGUCCUGGGGUGGUCG